rnacentral:rRNA from 1 species
GACACGGUCCAGACUCCUACGGGAGGCAGCAGUGGGGAAUUUUGCGCAAUGGGGGAAACCCUGACGCAGCAACGCCGCGUGGAGGAUGAAGUCCCUUGGGACGUAAACUCCUUUCGACCGGGACGAUUAUGACGGUACCCGCUGAGGAAGCCACGGCCAACUCCGUGCCAGCAGCCGCGGUAAUACGGAGGUGGCAAGCGUUGUUCGGAAUUACUGGGCGUAAAGGGCGCGUAGGCGGCAUGGUAAGUCGGAUGUGAAAUCCCCGGGCUUAACUCGGGAACUGCAUCCGAAACUGCUUUGCUUGAGUCCUGGAGGGGGUAGUGGAAUUCCCAGUGUAGCGGUGAAAUGCGUAGAUAUUGGGAGGAACACCGGUGGCGAAGGCGGCUACCUGGACAGUGACUGACGCUGAGGCGCGAAAGCUAGGGGAGCGAACGGGAUUAGAUACCCCGGUAGUCCUAGCCGUAAACGAUGGGCACUUGGUGUUGGGGGUAUUGAGUCCCUCGGUGCCGGAGUUAACACGUUAAGUGCCCCGCCUGGGGAGUACGGUCGCAAGACUGAAACUCAAAGGAAUUGACGGGGGCCCGCACAAGCGGUGGAGCAUGUGGUUCAAUUCGACGCAACGCGAAGAACCUUACCGGGGCUCGAACGGUAGUUGCUACUCCUGGAAACAGGGGAUUCUCUUCGGAGACGGCUAUCGAGGUGCUGCAUGGCUGUCGUCAGCUCGUGUCGUGAGAUGUUGGGUUAAGUCCCGCAACGAGCGCAACCCUUGCCCUUAGUUGCCAUCAGGUAAAGCUGGGCACCCUAAGGGUACUGUCGGCGAAAAGCCGGAGGAAGGUGGGGAUGACGUCAAGUCCUCAUGGCCCUUAAGUCCCGGGCUACACACGUGCUACAAUGGUCGGAACAAAGGGUCGCCAACCCGCGAGGGGGAGCUAAUCCCAAAAAACCGAUCUCAGUUCGGAUUGCAGUCUGCAACUCGACUGCAUGAAGUUGGAAUCGCUAGUAAUCGCAGAUCAGCACGCUGCGGUGAAUACGUUCCCGGGCCUUGUACACACCGCCCGUCACAUCACGAAAGUGGGUUGUACUAGAAAUCGCUGGGCUAACCCGCAAGGGGGGCAGGCGCUUAAGGUAUGAUCCAUGAUUGGGGUGAAGUCGUAACAAGGUAGCUGUAGGAGAACCUGUGGCUG